rnacentral:rRNA from 1 species
AUCCUGGCUCAGGAUGAACGCUAGCUACAGGCUUAACACAUGCAAGUCGAGGGGAAACGAUAUUGGAAGCUUGCUUCCGAUAGGCGUCGACCGGCGCACGGGUGAGUAACGCGUAUCCAACCUGCCCAUCACUUGGGGAUAACCUUGCGAAAGUAAGACUAAUACCCAAUGACGUCUCUAGAAGACAUCUGAAGGAGAUUAAAGAUUUAUCGGUGAUGGAUGGGGAUGCGUCUGAUUAGCUUGUUGGCGGGGUAACGGCCCACCAAGGCGACGAUCAGUAGGGGUUCUGAGAGGAAGGUCCCCCACAUUGGAACUGAGACACGGUCCAAACUCCUACGGGAGGCAGCAGUGAGGAAUAUUGGUCAAUGGACGAGAGUCUGAACCAGCCAAGUAGCGUGCGGGAUGACGGCCCUAUGGGUUGUAAACUGCUUUUAUAAGGGAAUAAAGUGAGUCUCGUGAGACUUUUUGCAUGUACCUUAUGAAUAAGGACCGGCUAAUUCCGUG